CUCGGGACUUCCGCCUGGCGGCUCCUGGCAAUGACCUUGACAUCGCCAGUUUGGAGAGUGAGCGAGACCGUGGAUCUGAGCGCUUGCAGUUUCCGUGCGGAGCCGCGUGAUUAUGGGGUUAGACAAACCGAGGGGAUCCCGCUCGCACAGCCGCUCACCACAGGCGCCUUUCCGUUGCCACUUUGCAGGGCUCAGUCCAGUUCAAGAUGCUGACGAACUUCAGGGCUGGUGCUUGAAAGCAGCUUUUCAACGAGAUAAAGUGUAUUUGAACAUGUGGUAAUUGAUACAUAGGGAAUAGAUGCUUUUGCUUUCUUUGUCCCUUUUGUGGUAGUAGCAGGGGCGAAUUCUGAGAAGGUGCCAAACAGCUGUAAGAACAUACAUCUACCUGCCCCAUAGAGAAUUUUAUAGAAGGUAGUUCUAUUACUUAAAGUAGUCCUUCUACCAACCAACCAACCAGCCCCAGACUGAAGCUUGACACCGCUAUCUUGACAACUUUGUUGAUUUGCAAAGGUUAUUUUUAAAUCUCAUUCUUUUGACUGUCCUAAAGAUACGUUUCACAGUAGCCUCUUAAAAAUUUGGUUUUAGCAUAUGCUUACAAAUUUUUCCAUAAUAGAUCAUUUUAAUGAUUACAUUUGAUCCUUUUGACAGGAGACAGAUCAGUGGAUUCUUAAGGAUCAGUGAGGGGCUGGUUGCAAAGGAGCAUGAGGAAGUUUUGAGGAAAUGUUUUAUAUCUUGUUUAUAAACGGUGGUGAUUGCAUUUGUCAAAUUUCAGGGUGAGUUUUGCUAAAUAAACUACACUUCAAUAAAUGUGACUUUAAAAAC
rnacentral:lncRNA from 1 species